ACGCUGGCGGCGUGCCUAAUACAUGCAAGUAGAACGCUGAAGAGAGGAGCUUGCUCUUCUUGGAUGAGUUGCGAACGGGUGAGUAACGCGUAGGUAACCUGCCUUGUAGCGGGGGAUAACUAUUGGAAACGAUAGCUAAUACCGCAUAACAAUAGGUGACACAUGUCAUUUAUUUGAAAGGGGCAAUUGCUCCACUACAAGAUGGACCUGCGUUGUAUUAGCUAGUAGGUGAGGUAACGGCUCACCUAGGCGACGAUACAUAGCCGACCUGAGAGGGUGAUCGGCCACACUGGGACUGAGACACGGCCCAGACUCCUACGGGAGGCAGCAGUAGGGAAUCUUCGGCAAUGGGGGCAACCCUGACCGAGCAACGCCGCGUGAGUGAAGAAGGUUUUCGGAUCGUAAAGCUCUGUUGUAAGUCAAGAACGAGUGUGAGAGUGGAAAGUUCACACUGUGACGGUAGCUUACCAGAAAGGGACGGCUAACUACGUGCCAGCAGCCGCGGUAAUACGUAGGUCCCGAGCGUUGUCCGGAUUUAUUGGGCGUAAAGCGAGCGCAGGCGGUUUGAUAAGUCCGAAGUUAAAGGCUGUGGCUCAACCAUAGUUCGCUUUGGAAACUGUCAAACUUGAGUGCAGAAGGGGAGAGUGGAAUUCCAUGUGUAGCGGUGAAAUGCGUAGAUAUAUGGAGGAACACCGGUGGCGAAAGCGGCUCUCUGGUCUGUAACUGACGCUGAGGCUCGAAAGCGUGGGGAGCGAACAGGAUUAGAUACCCUGGUAGUCCACGCCGUAAACGAUGAGUGCUAGGUGUUGGAUCCUUUCCGGGAUUCAGUGCCGCAGCUAACGCAUUAAGCACUCCGCCUGGGGAGUACGACCGCAAGGUUGAAACUCAAAGGAAUUGACGGGGGCCCGCA
rnacentral:rRNA from 1 species